AUUGAACGCUGGCGGCAGGCCUAACACAUGCAAGUCGAGCGGCAGCGGGAAAGUAGCUUGCUACUUUUGCCGGCGAGCGGCGGACGGGUGAGUAAUGCCUGGGAAAUUACCCAGUCGAGGGGGAUAACAGUUGGAAACGACUGCUAAUACCGCAUACGCCCUACGGGGGAAAGCAGGGGACCUUCGGGCCUUGCGCGAUUGGAUAUGCCCAGGUGGGGUUAGCUGGUUGGUGAGGUAAUGGCUCACCAAGGCGACGAUCCCUAGCUGGUCUGAGAGGAUGAUCAGCCACACUGGAACUGAGACACGGUCCAGACUCAUACGGGAGGCAGCAGUGGGGAAUAUUGCACAAUGGGGGAAACCCUGAUGCAGCCAUGCCGCGUGUGUGAAGAAGGCCUUCGGGUUGUAAAGCACUUUCAGUGAGGAGGAAAGGUCAGUAGCUAAUAUCUGCUGGCUGUGACGUUACUCGCAGAAGAAGCACCGGCUAACUCCGUGCCAGCCGCCGCAGUAAGAC
rnacentral:rRNA from 1 species